rnacentral:lncRNA from 1 species
ACUUAUAAAUAAAUAAAAAAGUUAUUAAGUGUGACGCAAAGAAGACAGUUAUGUCUCUAAAAUGUCAAGAUCGAGAAUGUAGUUAUACAUCCGAUUUAAGACUAAUAAAAUUCAACAAUUAAAAAUUAAGUGAACCAUGGCCUUAGACACAAAUUAUCCAAAAACAUAUUAAAAUAAGUAUAAGUCAAUAAAAGCGACCGUGCUAGAACCACGGGACUCGAGGGAUGCCUAAUACCUUCCCCUCGGUCAACAGAAUUCCUUACCCGAAUUUCUAGUUCGUAGACCAAAACUAAAAGAGUCAUUUCCUAUUUAUUAGGGAUUCAAAAAGGUGACUUGGAACACCACAAAUCAAUUCCAAGUGGCGACUCUGAAGAAAUAAUAAAAUAAUCCCUAAAUCAAUAACGUCACUUAAAUUGGAAAAACCCUUCCGCCGCCUUGCGCGAAAAGGGGUGUGACAC